rnacentral:miRNA from 1 species
UUCCAGCCCUUCUAAUGGUAGG